UGCAAGGCAAGUUGAAUCAGGCAAAUUAACGGCGCCCCGGAAUUUCCUCCUCUCGCCUUCCCUUUCCUUGCCUUGCAUCUCCCCGCCACGACUGGCCGCCGUGUGCUGGCCACCAACCACGGUGGCGCGGCUGGCCGUUUGCCGGCGCACGCGUGCGUGGACGUCGCGCGCGGAUCCGUCGAUCUCGCAUGCCUGCGUCACGCGCGUGGCCGAGGGCGGCUGCCGCUGCACGCCGGCGACGACGCAGGCCAUGGAGGGCUUUGGCUGUUUCGUCGUCCUCCACGCGCAGCUCGCGCCACGGGGAUCCCUCCUUCCCGGCGUCCUCCACUAGGCUGUUCCGACGCGGCAGUACUCCGACGUGAUGCGUCCAGGCGGUCUCUUCGCACGACCUCGCCGGGAACAAAAGUCCGCCCCCGUGUGGCCGACCUGAGCCCAAAAGAAUCGACACUGCUAUGUGGCGUGGUGGAUAUACGGCGGCUCCCGACCUUUGUGCUGGAGGAUGGGAAGACGAGGCACGCGUUCUACAUACUGGCCCAGUAGGCCCUCAAGUUUGAGUGCUCGAGUGGCUGUGAGAUACGGGGAAACUUGAAGAAGAUGUUGGCCAAGGCUGAACCCGAACUCAGUAACCGUGUAUUUGUUUGGUGUUAUGGGUGCUGUAUACAACGGUGUCCUCCUCAAGUGCUCACUGUUGUUCUUCUUCGGCUACAACCAUACUGGCUUCAUCAAACACACCAUGCAGAUCAUAUGUAGGAUGAUGACUUGGAGGAUUUCAGAACAUGUGCAGUAGUAUUGGCCACAGAAAACACUAAAGUGAAGGUACUUGCCAAAUUUGCAUCACUCAGUCCUCACAAGCAUGUAGUGGAAGUUUGCGAUUGGUUUUCUCAUGGGAGGGUUGUCAGCUGCAGUUUGAAAGACUGCUGCAGCUCCCAUUGAGCGUGUUAAGCUGCUUAUUCAGAACGAGGAUGAGAUAAUCAAGUCUGGCUGGCUCUCUAAGCCAUACAAGGGUAUUGGUGUCGGCUCUGAGCAGACAAUCAAGGAUGAAGUUUUUUGCUCACUUUGGAUUGGGGACACUGCUAAUGUCAUCGGUAUGGCCCAACUCAGAAGGCUGCAAAACCCGUGGAAUGGCUAAUGCUUUGCUCCGCGUGUGGGAGGAAGCUGCUCGUGAUCUGCAUGCCGCGUCAAGCAUUGAGUGUGAUGGUGGAGCCUCAUGCACACAAGAUGGUGGAGCACCGCUGGAGGUAUGGCAACUGUGAAAACUGAGGGAAGAAAGAAAGCUGAGCGUCACCGGCUUCAUCGUCGUGCCAACGCACACGGGUGAUUCUUCGUAUUAAAGUUGCUACUCCCGGAGUACCGGGUAGGUGCUUUCCAAGCGUAAUUAUGUUCAUGGUGGUGGACAGAGGACGUGCUAGCGGCCGAGCCUUGUGCAUUGUCUGGUGCUGGUAGGUAGCUUCUGGGACGCUGAGCCAGGGUGGCUUGUUGGUAAUUUUAGGCCGUACAGAAUCUUUAUGUUUUAUUGUUAAGUAGGAGAAGAAUACUGUGAUGUUAAGAGUAACAUGCUCAUUGCUGGCCUGGAGACUCCAGGUUAGUUUUGUGUCUACAUCAUUGCUGGUCGAUCUUCGGAAGCUUUGUUUUGGUUUUGAAAAAGAAAAGAGCCUGUGUGUUUUACAAUAUGUUGUAUGUGCAUGAAGCUCUUUUGAAAUAUGGUGUUAAGUAGAUUGCUUGUUGGUAAUGUUAGGCUGUCCGUAAUAGGAAAGCGUAUGUCUGAGCGCUGCAUUGCUGAAACUCUGCAUUGGUCGUCUGGUGCAGGGGAUGGUGAGUCGCCGGCUAGGAGGACAUGGCCUGACUAUGUGCCGUGGCUCAUCUUUGGCUGAUUCAGUCAGGCGUCCUUCUCGGGUUGUGCUGCUGGUUCUUCAUCUUAUUUAAAGUAAUGUUUCGAAUCGUUGUAGUAUACUACUCCCUCUGUCUAUAAAAGCAUGUCUUAACUUUGCCAAAAAAAAAUUUGAAUGGUACUUUGCCAAAAUUUGAAUGCAUCUAAACCCAUUGAGGACAAGGAGGCCAAGGCCGUGUGGUUUGGUCUGGCUGUGUCGACAGUCGUAGCAGCUUCUUCUGUGUGAAAAAAUGCUUCAUUGGUUGUAAUAUUUCGUGUCGGGUUUGUAUCGUAAUGCUCCAGUCCAGAAGCUAUGUGAAAAAAUGUGCUUGAGAGGUGUUUUUUUAUAUAUUUUCUAAUGAUGCAUGCUGUCAAAGUCCAGAAAAUAGGGGUGGUAGCCGUGAUUUUUUGUUUUGAAUUGCUA